rnacentral:tRNA from 1 species
CUGGUCGAUCCCGAAGUGGUCGAGGGCCCAGCCUGUGAAGCUGGUGCAAGUCGGUUCGAGUCCGUCCGGCCAGCCCA